AAAUACAGCAGAUUAAACCCACUGGACUUCCUGCAGAAAUUACCACAACAUUACCUGAUUUACCAAAGUGUAAAAACCUCUCAGUUAGUUACACCUGUUCAGAAAAUAACAAAGCUGAUGUGAAACUGUCUGAGCUGGAGCCGUUCACAGACUACAGCUGUACUGGUCUGAUCUUACAGAACAGCAUCAGCAUAAAUAAGACGACUCCAUCUGUCCACGUCAGGGUUGAUUGUGAUCUUACAAUAACCAACAUAAAGAAGGAUUUAACCAGUACUUCCAUUGAGCUCAGCUGGAAAACAACCAGUAAGAACUGUCAACAGGUCCUUCCCCUCCUUCAUAAGCUUUCUUAUGACUGCAGUUGUGAUGGUCAGACAGGUAAAGCCACAAGUCCUGAUGGAAGAACGUGUGUUAUUACUGGAUUAAAUCCAUUUACUGGUUAUACCUGUCGAGUCCGAGCCAAAUACAACGAGAUUCAAGUUUCCA